rnacentral:RNase_MRP_RNA from 1 species
AAGCACGGCUUCGCAGCGCACACACGGGGAGCUCGCUCCCAUCCACGCUGCGGGGAAAGUCCCCGUGCCUUAGGUCAGAGAGUGUCAGCGGGAGACCGCAGGGCCUUGGCUUGCAUGCAGGCAGUGAAACCUUUGGUUGAGUUGCAGCUGCAGGCUUUGGCUUUUCGCAGCAGCACAGGCAUGCCGUGAG